CAUGUGCACUAUCUGGGGACUUCCGUCGCCUGCACUGCCAAGGUUCUUGGUCGGGAACAACUUCCGCGGCUUGCAGGUGAGCCUUGCUCCAGCUGCUGCUGGUGUGGCUGAGGAGGAUGUGGCCCAGGAUCUUCCCCGUGCCCCAACUCCUAAUGCCGUAGCUGGGAGAUGUGGGCAACCGGCAGGCCGAGGCGCUGGAGUUACUAGCCGCAAACACCAGGCGGCAGGGCCAGGCAUCAUUGGAAAGCUGCCGACUGCCAGGUUGAAGUUCUCGGUGACGUGGUCCACGAGCUGCAAGGCGUUGGUACCCUCGCCCGGGCCCUCAUUGCAGCGGAAGCCACCUGCACAGUGAUUUGUAAAGACUAGUGGUACAUAUAUGUAGAUUUAUUUCUGUUCACAUCACGAGCUCUGAUACGCUGGUUUGCUCCAAUGGUGCCCUGAAAUUUUUUUGAGUUAAUUUUCUUUUUCUGCAUAUCAGAAGCACUGAUGUGCUGUUUCAUUGUACAUAGCACAGUGUAGCUCAAUGGUAAAUCGUGUCCUGCGAUGUCAUUGUCUUUUUAUAGUCGUCGUGCGAGGUGA